rnacentral:rRNA from 1 species
CAGAGCUUAACUCUGGAACUGCCAUCAAAACUUUUUAGCUAGAGUGUGAUAGAGGAAAGCAGAAUUUCUAGUGUAGAGGUGAAAUUCGUAGAUAUUAGAAAGAAUACCAAUUGCGAAGGCAGCUUUCUGGAUCACUACUGACGCUGAGGAACGAAAGCAUGGGUAGCGAAGAGGAUUAGAUACCCUCGUAGUCCAUGCCGUAAACGAUGUGUGUUAGAUGUUGGAAAUUAAUUUUCAGUAUCGCAGCGAAAGCGUUAAACACACCGCCUGGGGAGUACGACCGCAAGGUUAAAACUCAAAUGAAUUGACGGGGACCCGCACAAGUAGUGGAGCAUGUGGUUUAAUUCGAAGAUACGCGCAGAACCUUACCAACACUUGACAUGUUUGUCGCGACUUCAAGAGAUUGAAGUCUUCGGUUCGGCCGGACAAAACACAGGUGCUGCAUGGCUGUCGUCAGCUCGUGUCGUGAGAUGUUGGGUUAAGUCCCGCAACGAGCGCAACCCUCACUUUUAGUUGCCAUCAUUUAGUUGGGCACUCUGAAAGAACUGCCAGUGAUAAGCUGGAGGAAGGUGGGGAUGACGUCAAGUCCUCAUGGCCCUUACGUGUUGGGCUACACACGUGCUACAAUGGCAUUUACAAUAGGAUGCAAAAUGGCGACAUUAAGCAAAUCCUAAAAAGAUGCCUCAGUUCGGAUUGUACUCUGCAACUCGAGUACAUGAAGCUGGAAUUACUAGUAAUCGCGGAUCAGCGCGCCGCGGUGAAUACGUUCCCGGGUCUUGUACACACCGCCCGUCACACCAUGGGAGUUGGUUCUACCUUAAGGCAAAGUUUAAAACCUUUGACCACGGUAUAGUCAGCGACUGGGGUGA